UUCCGGUUGAUCCUGCCGGAGGAAUUGCUCUUGGGGUCCGAUUUAGCCAUGCUAGUCGCUCGGUUUCAGACCCGUGUUGAAAAGCUCAGUGCCACGUGGCCAAGCUACCCUGUGGAUCUGGACAACCUCGGGAAGCUGAAGCUAAUCCCGAAUAGAGCUCACAUCCUGUAGUGGCGUGACUCCGAAACGCUCCAACGCCGCAGGAUGUGGCUGCGGUCGAUUAGGUUGACGGGGGCGUAACGGCCCAGCGUGCCCAUAAUCGGUACGGGUUGUGAGAGCAAGAGCCCCGGAGACGGUAUCUGAGACAAGAUACCGGGCCCUACGGGGCGCAGCAGGAGCGAAACCUUUACACUGCGCGAGAGCGCGAUAAGGGGACCCCGAGUGCGAGGGCAUAUAGUCCUCUCUUUUCUGGACUGUAGGGAGGUCCAAGAAUAAGGGCUGGGCAAGACCGGUGCCAGCCGCCGCGGUAAUACCGGCAGCCCGGGUGAUGGCCGAGUUUA
rnacentral:rRNA from 1 species